GCCCGGUGCGGUGGCGCGUGCCUGUAGUCCCAGCUGCUCGGAGGCUGAGGUGGGAGGAUCGCUUGAGCCUAGGGGUUCUGGGCUGUAGUGCGCUAUGCCGAUCAGGUGUCCGCACUAAGUUCGGCAUCAAUUUGGUGACCUCCCGGGAGCAAGGGAUCAUCAGGUUGCCUGAGGGGUGAACCGGCCCAGGUCGGAAACGGAGCAGGUCAAAAUUCCUGUGCUGAUCCGUAGUGGCAUCGCGCCUGUGAAUAGCCACUGCACUCCAGCCUGGGCAACAUAGUGAGACCCUGUCUCU
rnacentral:SRP_RNA from 1 species